CGCAGGCUGAGGGCGGCCGGGUGGUGGCGGCGGUACCGGCCUCCGGAGCCGUCAAAGGCCUGAGCCUUGUGGCUGGCAGGGCCUCCGCAGUCCAACAACCCGCUGUCCCGUAAGCUGCAGAAGGUCCUGGAGACACGGCUGGAUACCACAAGAGAGAGAAUAAAUGGGCAUCCUAGGGCUACUAGCCAUUCCAGACUUCAGACACAUGUGUAUCUGCCUUAUGUGUGGCCUGGGGAAUUGAACCUGAGUUCUUAUGCUUCACAGGAGAUGUCUGAAGCUCUCAAGGCAAUUUCAGCCUUUUUUGUUGAAAAUAGUUUGGGUGCUUGAAGAAAUUUACAUGGAGAUAAAUUUACAUGGAAUGCAGAAGUUUAUCUAUCAUUGACGAAUUUGUAAGCAUUUUCAAGGAAGUGAAGGAGGCAGCAAAGGAACAAACUUAAGAUUUAAUAGUAAAAACAACUAAGCUUCAAGCUGAAAGCCAAAGACUAGAGAUGAGGGCACAAGUUGCAGAUGCCUUUUUAUCCAAGUUCCAACUGACAUCUGAUGAAAUGAUGCUACUACAAGGAUUUUUUUUCAAGGCAUUAGGAAGAGUAAGAGAUUCAUAAUGAUUUCAAAAUUCUCUUGCAUACCGAGCAACAAACAGCAGGUUUGGAAAUUAUGGAAGAAAUGGCCUUGCUUCAAGAAACAGCCUAUGAAAGACUACUGACUGAUAGGCUCAGAGUGAAUGCAGAACAUUGACACAAGAAUCAUGUGAUGUGUCUCCAGUAUUAGCUCAGGCUGUGGAAGCACUAUAGGAUAGACCUGCCUUACAUAAGUCCAGUGCUCUGUCCUUCAUCAAUGCUGCUGUUUUAGACUCAACCAUAUUUUCUUAGAAGGAGCAAAAUUUGUGCCUAUCAAUUGAGCUUUCAUCAUGCCAAAAUGACUCCAUUUUAUUUUAAGAGCAGUAGCUCCUGAGGGAGUACUGAAAGUAGCUUUAGAUAUCCUGCUUGUCUUAGAAGUAGUCUGUUGUGACUGUUGGGGGAAACACAGCUGUUUCUCAUGUGCAGUGUUUCUUCUGGGUACGCCUUAAACGAAUUUGGAACAUCCAGAUGGAGCACAGUUGUUCAAGGUUUUAUUGAUUGUCUUACAAGAGGAGGCCCAUUGAAAUACACUCCCAUGACCCUCUGAGAUGCAGCGAUCAACAACAUUGAAGGGUUUAAUGCUUCUUCCUGAGACUUCUUUACUGACACAGUUUUCCUUAUGAAUGUGGGAGAUAUGCUGGCUGGCUAUAUCAAGCUACUGCUUCUGAAAAGGAACAACUGUAUUGAAGCACGUGACCACACAGGGUGGGUGCACUGAUGUUCCUGCUGAUGCUGCACAGAGAACAUCCCAAGAUGUUGUGUCUUUCCUCUGUUACUAGUACCUCACACCUAGAUGGAAUAGAAGCAUCCAGUGUCUCCAUGCUCCCUGGGCUCCCUCUGACACUGCUCAUGGACAUUGUCCUCCAGUGUAGUAACCAUACUCAGCCCUCCCUGAGCCUUUGCUCCUUGACUUCUCUUGUUGCUUUGGGGGGGGGGGGUUGACUCAACUUGUCUUGUUGGAGGGUCUGUCAUACUUUAUGUCAACUCUAAUCAUGGCACUUAAGUCAAA